AGAGUUUGAUCAUGGCUCAGAACGAACGCUGGCGGCAGGCCUAACACAUGCAAGUCGAGCGCGCCUUCGGGUGAGCGGCGGACGGGUUAGUAACGCGUGGGAACGUGCCCUUCUCUACGGAAUAGCCUCUGGAAACGGAGAGUAAUACCGUAUACGCCCUUUGGGGGAAAGAUUUAUCGGAGAAGGAUCGGCCCGCGUUAGAUUAGGUAGUUGGUGGGGUAACGGCCUACCAAGCCUACGAUCUAUAGCUGGUUUUAGAGGAUGAUCAGCAACACUGGGACUGAGACACGGCCCAGACUCCUACGGGAGGCAGCAGUGGGGAAUCUUAGACAAUGGGGGCAACCCUGAUCUAGCCAUGCCGCGUGAGUGAUGAAGGCCUUAGGGUCGUAAAGCUCUUUCGCCUGUGAUGAUAAUGACAGUAGCAGGUAAAGAAACCCCGGCUAACUCCGUGCCAGCAGCCGCGGUAAU
rnacentral:rRNA from 1 species